AGCGAACGCUGGCGGCAGGCUUAACACAUGCAAGUCGAGCGGGCACCUUCGGGUGUCAGCGGCGGACGGGUGAGUAACGCGUGGGAACGUGCCUUCUGGUUCGGAAUAACUCAGGGAAACUUGAGCUAAUACCGGAUACGCCCUUUUGGGGAAAGGUUUACUGCCGGAAGAUCGGCCCGCGUCUGAUUAGCUCGUUGGUGGGGUAACGGCCUACCAAGGCCACGAUCAGUAGCUGGUCUGAGAGGAUGAUCAGCCACACUGGGACUGAGACACGGCCCAGACUCCUACGGGAGGCAGCAGUGGGGAAUAUUGGACAAUGGGCGCAAGCCUGAUCCAGCCAUGCCGCGUGAGUGAUGAAGGCCUUAGGGUUGUAAAGCUCUUUUAUCCGGGACGAUAAUGACGGUACCGGAGGAAUAAGCCCCGGCUAACUUCGUGCCAGCAGCCGCGGUAA
rnacentral:rRNA from 1 species